rnacentral:rRNA from 1 species
AUUGAACGCUAGCGGGAUGCUUUACACAUGCAAGUCGAACGGCAGCGCGGACUUCGGUCUGGCGGCGAGUGGCGAACGGGUGAGUAAUAUAUCGGAACGUGCCCAGUAGCGGGGGAUAACUACGCGAAAGCGUAGCUAAUACCGCAUACGCCCUACGGGGGAAAGCAGGGGAUCGUAAGACCUUGCACUAUUGGAGCGGCCGAUAUCGGAUUAGCUAGUUGGUGAGGUAACGGCUCACCAAGGCGACGAUCCGUAGCUGGUUUGAGAGGACGACCAGCCACACUGGGACUGAGACACGGCCCAGACUCCUACGGGAGGCAGCAGUGGGGAAUUUUGGACAAUGGGGGCAACCCUGAUCCAGCCAUCCCGCGUGUGCGAUGAAGGCCUUCGGGUUGUAAAGCACUUUUGGCAGGAAAGAAACGUCGCGGGCUAAUACCCCGUGGAACUGACGGUACCUGCAGAAUAAGCACCGGCUAACUACGUG